AACCUGCCCCGAGCUCUGGAAUAACCUCGGGAAACCGGGGCUAGUGCCGGAUAUGACACUGCCGGGCAUCUGGUGGUGUGGAAAGAUUUAUCGGCUCGGGAUGGGCCCGCGGGCUAUCAGCUUGUUGGUGGGGUGAUGGCCUACCAAGGCGACGACGGGUAGCCGGCCUGAGAGGGCGACCGGCCACACUGGGACUGAGACACGGGCCAGACUCCUACGGGAGGCAGCAGUGGGGAAUAUUGCGCAAUGGGCGAAAGCCUGACGCAGCGACGCCGCGUGAGGGAUGACGGCCUUCGGGUUGUAAACCUCUUUCAGCAGAGACGAAGCGCAAGUGACGGUACCUGCAGAAGAAGCACCGGCCAACUACGUGCCAGCAGCCGCGGUAAUACGUAGGGUGCAAGCGUUGUCCGGAAUUAUUGGGCGUAAAGAGCUCGUAGGCGGCCUGUCGCGUCGGCUGUGAAAACCCGGGGCUCAACCCCGGGCCUGCAGUCGAUACGGGCAGGCUAGAGUCCGGCAGGGGAGACUGGAAUUCCUGGUGUAGCGGUGAAAUGCGCAGAUAUCAGGAGGAACACCGGUGGCGAAGGCGGGUCUCUGGGCCGGAACUGACGCUAAGGAGCGAAAGCGUGGGGAGCGAACAGGAUUAGAUACCCUGGUAGUCCACGCCGUAAACGUUGGGCGCCAGGUGUGGGGGACCUUCCACGGCCUCCGUUCCGCAGCUAACGCAUUAAGCGCCCCGCCUGGGGAGUACGGCCGCAAGGCUAAAACUCAAAGGAAUUGACGGGGGCCCGCACAAGCGGCGGAGCAUGUGGCUUAAUUCGAUGCAACGCGAAGAACCUUACCAGGGCUUGACAUGCAGGGAAAUCUCGUAGAGAUACGGGGUCCGUAAGGGUCCUGCACAGGUGGUGCAUGGCUGUCGUCAGCUCGUGU
rnacentral:rRNA from 1 species